rnacentral:rRNA from 1 species
ACUCCUACGGGAGGCAGCAGUGGGGAAUAUUGCACAAUGGGCGCAAGCCUGAUGCAGCAACGCCGCGUGAGGGACGACGGCCUUCGGGUUGUAAACCUCUUUUAGUAGGGAAGAAGCGAAAGUGACGGUACCUGCAGAAAAAGCACCGGCUAACUACGUGCCAACAGCCGCGGUAAUACGUAGGGUGCAAGCGUUAUCCGGAAUUAUUGGGCGUAAAGAGCUCGUAGGCGGUUUGUCGCGUCUGCUGUGAAAACUGGAGGCUCAACCUCCAGCCUGCAGUGGGUACGGGCAGACUAGAGUGCGGUAGGGGAGAUUGGAAUUCCUGGUGUAGCGGUGGAAUGCGCAGAUAUCAGGAGGAACACCGAUGGCGAAGGCAGAUCUCUGGGCCGUAACUGACGCUGAGGAGCGAAAGCAUGGGGAGCGAACAGGAUUAGAUACCCUGGUAGUCCAUGCCGUAAACGUUGGGAACUAGAUGUAGGGACCAUUCCACGGUUUCUGUGUCGCAGCUAACGCAUUAAGUUCCCCGCCUGGGGAGUACGGCCGCAAGGCUAAAACUCAAAGGAAUUGACGGGGGCCCGCACAAGCGGCGGAGCAUGCGGAUUAAUUCGAUGCAACGCGAAGAACCUUACCAAGGCUUGACAUAUACCGGAAAAGUGCAAAAAUGUACUCCCCGCAAGGUCGGUAUACAGGUGGUGCAUGGUUGUCGUCAGCUCGUGUCGUGAGAUGUUGGGUUAAGUCCCGCAACGAGCGCAACCCUCGUUCUAUGUUGCCAGCACGUAAUGGUGGGAACUCAUAGGAGACUGCCGGGGUCAACUCGGA